CAUAUUCAUGAGGAGGGCGGGGGCUCAGGGCCGGUAUAUAAGCGGAGGCGCAGCCGAGCCGCUGCGUAGUUCGCGCUGGGACUUUGAAGCUCGAAAUUCACUUGCGCAGCUAGGAAGCGACUUCGGGGAGAAAAUGGCAUCAGAUGAAGGGAAGCUCUUUGUCGGCGGCCUCAGUUUUGACACCAAUGAACAGUCGCUGGAGCAAGUCUUCUCUAAAUACGGACAGAUCACUGAUGUUGUUGUCGUCAAAGACAGAGAAACCCAGAGGUCCAGAGGGUUUGGCUUUGUCACCUUUGAGAGUGUUGAUGAUGCUAAAGAUGCGAUGAUGGCCAUGAAUGGGAAGUCUGUCGACGGCCGCCAAAUCAGGGUUGACCAAGCAGGCAAGUCGUCUGACAACAGGUCCCGCGGCUACAGAGGCGGUUCGGCUGGCGGCCGGGGGUUUUUCCGCGGAGGCAGAGGCCGGGGCCGGGGCUUCUCCAGAGGAGCCGGUGGAGACCGAGGUUACGGUGGCAGCCGGUUUGAAUCGAGAAGCGGGGGAUACGGUGGUUCUAGAGACUAUUAUGGCGGCAGCAGGAGUCAAGGCAGCUAUGGCGACAGGCCUUCAGGAGGCUCCUACAGAGACAGCUAUGACAGUUAUGCUACACACAACGAGUAAAAUACCUUCCUGGCUCAAGAUCGUCCUUCCAAUGGCUGUAUUUAUAAAGAUUUUGGGAGCUUCGCUGAAAUCCGUUCUUGUGUAGUCAUCUCCUUUGUAUUCUCACUUUUGUAGUAAACUCUCAGUUCUGACCUUGUCAAAACAAAAACACAGCCUUGACAGCUUCUAAUAUGCGAUGGUCUGUUCAGACUCGAAAGAAAGCUCUGGGUUUUUCCUCUCUCAAGUGUUUUAACGUAUUUUUUUUUUAAAGCACUUAAGAUUUUAGUUCAUUUGUGAGCAGAGGGGUGUGUGUGUGUGUGUGUUUGGUUGUGUGUCCUUUAGUGUGUGUGUGUGCGUGUUGUUUUUUUUUAUUAAAAAGAAAAAGACUGGAAGGUUUUUGGGGCCCCAUUUCUGUGGUUUUUUUUUUUUUGGUUUUGUUUUGAGCGAGAAAGGACCGUAAUUGUUCAGUAGAAGCUGAGCAAGCUGUGAAGUCGGUUUGUUUUAGUGCAUCGUUUUGUAACAAACUUUAGUGUAGCAAGGUAGGCGCUGUAGCCUGGGUAUGACUUUAUAAACGACUUUAAAAGGCAACCCACCUUGGUAUACCUAAAGCGAAACUUUGCUUGUAUGUUCAGUCUGCAUUUAAGAGACUUUUGCUUGUAUGCCAUAAAACGUGUCCCAGAAAGACUCUGCAAAUCUUAACUCGCAAGAGGCUCGUGGGGAAAAAAAAUAUGUUUGUUUCUGUUGUCCUUUUUUUACUGGAAGAAAAGUAUAUGCCUAAUUCAAUUGAUGUUGUAAUUUUGAAGUGGUUAAAAAGGAUUUCUUGUACAGUUUUCCUUUUGGCUUCACGAAGCCUAUUAAAAGUCCAUCUGGAAAAAAAAUACUAUAUCUGCUCUUGAAAUUUUACGUCUUGCUGCACAACACAACUCUGGAUUUGACCGUCAGAAGUGUACAGUCAGAGAGGAAGGGCAGCUAGCUGCAGAGAGAGGAUUGCAGGCUGGCUAAUGUGACGGUGGUGAAAACAACGCAAAUCUUACUGUACUUUUAAGGCCUAGAUAGACGGCAGGUCAGGUUGAGGGUGAUUGAAGCUGAAGCGAGAGUAUCUAAAGGAGCGUAGCCCUCUCCAUUUCCCAUUAUGGGGUCCGUUCUCUUUGAAAAAUAAUAACACCACUUCCCAUAGUAAUUUGCACCUGGUGACUCAGAGCAGACAGCUUGCGACUAGAGUUAGCGCGUGAGCAAGAAUUAGCUGACACCUUUGGUAGCUUGAAAAGCCAGCCAACAAGGGAGCCUCGUUCUAACCGGGGUCAGCUGCCGCUGCUGCCGAUUCUUGACAGUGUUCCAAGGCCGAUAACUGUGACCUAAUUUAGCUAGCUUUGUCGUUGCCUUCUUAAGUUCUGAGAAUUCUCUGCUAGCGUAUGGAAAACGGCAGUGCCUUGACGAAAAAGCGAAGUGUUGUGAAUCCAACAGAGAGAGAGAGAACCUCUGGGACGAAAGCUGCUCUCUUGGCUAGUUCAUAUGUGGGGAUAGUCCCGUAAUUCGAGGUUGACGGAGAAAAUAAGCCAUUGAUCAUGAAGUGGUUUUGAGGCUGAGCGCGGAACAUAGACCGUAAGCCAACUUCAACUCUUGAGCAGUCGCGUGCUGCGUGGAAGAGGACCGGCGAGGAGUACGCCAGCUUCCGGGCUGGGCAGCAAAAGCUUCGAGAGCUGUUUGCAUUUUUUUAAAAUGGAUUCAACAAGGCUAAUAAAACACAGGGCUACAAAUA